UUUCCGUAGGUGAACCUGCGGAAGGAUCAUUAACGAGUUAGGGUCUUCCAGGCCCGACCUCCCAACCCUAUGUUUAUUGAACCUCUGUUGCUUCGGCGGGCCCGCCUCACGGCCGCCGGAGGACCGCUGCAAGGCGUCCUCUGGCCAGCGUCCGCCGAUGGCCAACCACUUAAACUCUGAAUGAAUCGUGUCAUAUGUCUAAGUCUAUGAUUAAAUUAAAGCAAAACUUUCAACAACGGAUCUCUUGGUUCUG
rnacentral:misc_RNA from 1 species